rnacentral:rRNA from 1 species
UACGAAGGGGGCGAGCGUUGUUCGGAAUUACUGGGCGUAAAGGGCGCGUAGGCGGCCGAUCAAGUCAGAUGUGAAAGUCCUGGGCUUAACCUGGGGACUGCAUUUGAUACUGAUUGGCUUGAAUGCAGGAGAGGAUAGCGGAAUUCCCAGUGUAGAGGUGAAAUUCGUAGAGAUGUGGAGGAACACCAGUGGCGAAGGCGGCUCUCUGGACUGCAACUGACGCUGAGGCGCGAAAGCGUGGGGAGCAAACAGG